rnacentral:lncRNA from 1 species
GAGCAUUGUCCUGCAUGAAAAUCAUGUUUUUCUUGAAGGAUGCAGACUUCUUCCUGUACCACUGCUUGAAGAAGGUGUCUUCCAGGAACUGGCAGUAGGACUGGGAGUUGAGCUUGACUCCAUCCUCAAUCCGAAAAGGCCCCACAAGCUCAUCUUUGAUGAUACCAGCCCAAACCAAUACUCCACCUCCACCUUGCUGGCGUCUGAGUCGGACUGGAGCUUUACCAAUCCAGCCACGGGCCCAUCCAUCUGGCCCAUCAAGACUCACUCUCAU